rnacentral:lncRNA from 1 species
UUGAGACCGCCCCUCCCCGUCCGUUCUUCUUCUCCGUCCAAACCACCACCUUCACCCCACAUCGGAAACAACCCACCCCCCCCCCCUUUUUUAGCAUUUAAUAUCAAAGCUGUGUAAUUUUAUUGGUAUUUAAUUGUGUGUGACAAUUAUUAUAGGAUUUAAUUAGUACUUUAAGAUAAUUCUAAUUUUUAUAAUUUAAUCUUAGCAUUUUUAGUUUUAUUAAUUAGGAAGUUGAAUAAAUAGAAAAGAAACAAAGAGAAAAAGAGUUGAAAAUCGGAAUUGGGCUCCUUCUUCAAUUUUAAACCUAGAACCAAAAUAUCCCCUACCCAACCUAAAACCCACUGACCCGGUCCAUUUCCACUCUCCCUUUUGAUUUUUCAGAUUUUUCGUUCUUUGACUUCCCUAACAAAUACAAAAAACAAAACCUAAAAGACCCUAAAACAUUUCAGCCGCCACACCUUGAGACCGCCCCUCCCCGUCCGUUCUUCUUCUCCGUCCAAACCACCCCCUUCCCCCCACAUCGGAAACAACCCCCCCCCCCCCCUUCGUCACUGUCGUCGUCCCCGUUGACCAAAACAGUCGCCUCCCAUCUCCAACGAGCCAUCAACGACCAGCCUUCACGUCCAAAAUGAACCCCACAAUUUCCAGCCAUCUCCAGCUCCAAACAACCCCUAUUUCCUCAACUUCCAGGUUCACAUCUCCAGCGAACCAAUAGUCAUGUCCAGCAACGUCGGAGUCCAUCCGUUCUUCGCCAGGAACGUCGACCAGCCGCCAGUCCACCACCAGCCUUCUAUUGUCUUCUUCAGUCCAUUGUCGACCGCUCCGUUCACUUCUAGACAGCCUGCACAUAGAAACUGAGUUUGGAUUUGUUAUGGACUUCAUGUAAACUUCAUAAGUUUCAUUUCUUCUGAUUUUAAUAUAAAUAGACUCAAGUCCGGUCAUGGAGUUUUGUUCGAGUUUUAUUGUUGUUUCGUUGGUUUGGUGUGACUAGUCGAGGUAGCAGUUUUCCGUCGAGGUUCAUUCAAGCAUUCGCCAGUCGUGAUUCCUGUUUGAGAUUCAUUAUUCCCGAUGCUAUCUUUGUUCAUUUUUAAGAAGCUCGGAUCAAACAUCGGUUACACAAGGAACUUGUGGUACAGUUUGUAGAAUUAUUAUUCAGAUGUGUUAUGUUAUUUCUCUUCUCUUCGUUGUCUAUCAUUUGUUGCAUAUGAGUUUAGUAUAUUAUAGUGUUCAUUCAUGUUUGUUUAAGUCAUAAGUGUGUUAGCCCAUGCAUUGAGUUGUGUCAAUCGUGAUUCAAAACUUUACCUUAAUAGUUCACUCCAACUAUUUCUGAAUCAUUGAAUCUUUCAUCUUGAUUGUAAUGAUGUUUGAUUUAAUUUGACGUUCAACUUAUAUUGUGUUUAGUGGUUUGAAUCUUAUUGUUUGUUCAAUUAAGUUUAGGGUCUGAUAUGAAUUAGAAUUAGUUUGCAGUUGAGCCUUAGUUAUCCUAGUGAUUAAUUAGGAAUUAACCUAGUUUCUCUUAUUAGGUGAAUUUGUAUAGCUGAUGAAAAAUGCUUUAGUUUGAAUGGUUAUCAGUAAGGUACUAAUGGACCAUUAAACUAUUGAUUUAUUUAAUACAUAGUUGAGAAUAAAUAUAUUCGUUUAAUAUAGUGCGAAACAAAAUAUAAUGAUGUAAAGAAAAAAGGGGUUUGAAAAGAAAAAGAAAUGAGGGUAAUAAUGAAAAAGUUAAAAGUGUUCACAUAGUAGAAGAAUAUUUAAAAGCUUAAAAGUAAAAGGAGUAGGGGUAAUGAUAAAAAAUUUUGUAUGACAACUGUGAAAGAAAAAAGGAGGGCUGAAAAGGAAAAAGGAUUUUGGGUUUAAUGAUAGAGAUUAAGAGUCAUUAAGGGGGUUUGAACAAAAAAGUCUAGAGUUUACGAGUGAAUUGGGGCUGAAAACUUUGAAUAUAUUUUCAGAAUUUUGAGUUGAAAAUGGACUGAAUUUUAACAUUAGAAUUUGAGUGUUUGAGAGUUAAAACUAAAGAAAGUUGCUUUCUUUAACUGUUGAAAAUCAGCACUAGUGUGCUAUUGUUUCCUUGAGGCUUGAAGCCUCUUUUCUUUGGGUGUUUAACACAUCAGAAAGUUGUUGAUUUCCUCUACUUCUGCUUUCUUUCGGAUUCUGCCUCGGUUUACUGCUUGGUAUAUUGUUGUUAUUUCAUCGAACGUGUUGAGAUUCCGUUUGAUUUUUUGAAUCUGCUUCCUAGUUUUCUGUUAUUGUUUGUUACUGGUUUCUUUGUUGUUUGUUGCAGUUUUUUUGUUGUUGUUGUGUAUGUUACUGUGUUCUGCACCGAUCACCCUUCUUCUCUCUUUUGAUUUUCAAUAUCAGGUACACAUUCUGAUUAUGUGC